AGAAUUGAUCUGGUCAGAACGAACGCUGGCGGCGCGUUUAAGCAUGCAAGUCGAGCGGCAAGGGCCUUCGGGCCCCUAGAGCGGCGGACGGGUGAGUAACACGUGGACAAUCUGCCCCCGGCCCGGGAUAGCCCCAGGGAAACCUGGAUUAAUACCGGAUGAGACGGGACCCGCGAUGGCGGGAUCCGGGAAAGGCGCUGCGGCGCCGCCGGGGGAUGAGUCUGCGUCCCAUUAGCUAGACGGCGGGGUAACGGCCCACCGUGGCGACGAUGGGUAGCCGGCCUGAGAGGGUGGACGGCCACAUUGGAACUGAGACACGGUCCAGACUCCUACGGGAGGCAGCAGCUAAGAAUCUUCCGCAAUGGGCGAAAGCCUGACGGAGCCGACGCCGCGUGAACGAAGAAGGCCGUGAGGUUGUAAAGUUCUUUUCGGGAGGGGGAACAACCGUGGCAGGGAAUGGCCGCGGGAUGACGUGAAUCCCGGAAUAAGCCCCGGCUAACUACGUGCCAGCCGCCGC
rnacentral:rRNA from 1 species